rnacentral:misc_RNA from 1 species
AAGUCGUAACAAGGUAACCGUAGGUGAACCUGCGGUUGGAUCAUUAAAAAAUUUAAAUAAGGUGUGGGAUUAAAUCUUUUUUCUUUAGGGAAAAAUUUUUUAAUUUCAACUUUUAACAUUUUUGUGCACUGUAAUUGAUUAUCUAGUGGGGGAAUUUUUAAAAAAUAGGCUGAAAAAAAUAUAUUUUUUUUUACGCUGGAGUUUAUUUUAUUUUUUAGGCUAGCCCUUUAUUGGGCUAAGUCAAUUUAAUAAAAUUUACUUUACCCACUAGAAAAAAUUUUUAACUUUAAUUAUUUUUAUAUUUUGCCUUUAGAUUAAUUUAAAAAAAGUUUAACUUAAAAAAAUAACUUUUGACAACGGAUCUCUAGGCUCUC